rnacentral:rRNA from 1 species
AGGGGAUCUUCGGACCUUUCGCUAUGAGAUGAGCCUGCGUUAGAUUAGCUAGUUGGUAGGGUAAAGGCCUACCAAGGCGACGAUCUAUAGCUGGUCUGAGAGGACGAUCAGCCACACUGGGACUGAGACACGGCCCAGACUCCUACGGGAGGCAGCAGUGGGGAAUAUUGGACAAUGGGGGAAACCCUGAUCCAGCCAUGCCGCGUGAGUGAUGAAGGCCUUCGGGUUGUAAAACUCUUUCGACGGGGACGAUAAUGACGGUACCCGUAGAAGAAGCUCCGGCUAACUUCGUGCCAGCAGCCGCGGUAAUACGAAGGGGGCUAGCGUUGUUCGGAAUUACUGGGCGUAAAGCGCGCGCAGGCGGCUAUCCAAGUCAGUGGUGAAAGCCCGGAGCUCAACUCCGGAACUGCCAUUGAAACUGUUUAGCUUGAGGACGAGAGAGGUGAGUGGAAUUCCCAGUGUAGAGGUGAAAUCCGUAGAUAUUGGGAAGAACACCAGUGGCGAA